GAUGAACGCUAGCGGCAGGCUUAACACAUGCAAGUCGAGGGGUAUAGUUCUUCGGAGCUAGAGACCGGCGCACGGGUGCGUAACGCGUAUGCAAUCUACCCUUUGCAGAGGGAUAGCCCAGAGAAAUUUGGAUUAAUACCUCAUGGUUUGUGAGAAUGGCAUCAUUUUCACAUUAAAGUCACAACGGCAAAAGAUGAGCAUGCGUCCCAUUAGCUAGUUGGUAAGGUAACGGCUUACCAAGGCAACGAUGGGUAGGGGUCCUGAGAGGGAGAUCCCCCACACUGGUACUGAGACACGGACCAGACUCCUACGGGAGGCAGCAGUGAGGAAUAUUGGACAAUGGGCGCAAGCCUGAUCCAGCCAUGCCGCGUGCAGGAUGACGGUCCUAUGGAUUGUAAACUGCUUUUGUACAGGAAGAAACACUGGUUCGUGAACCAGCUUGACGGUACUGUAAGAAUAAGGAUCGGCUAACUCCGUGCCAGCCGCCGCUGUAACAC
rnacentral:rRNA from 1 species